GGGGGUGACAUGGCUUCGACGUGGGUCGCGAAACUCCGGGGGCAUGCCGAGGGGCAGGUAACCUCGUAAAUCCAGCUGCAAAACUUAUAGUUGCCAACGACGACAACUACGCACUAGCUGCUUAAAACCCAGCCUAGAGCCUUCUGCCCGGAUCGUGCCUGUGCGUCCGGAUCACAGGAGUCACCGACACAGGACCGCGGUAAGGGCAUGUCCUGGGCCUGAGCCGUUAAAUCCUUACAGGACUGGCUGUGAGUUUUCCCUGCCCGUCGGGUAGUUCGCAGCGAGAUUAAAGGCGGAAUAAGAAUG
rnacentral:tmRNA from 1 species